GGCUGGUUUGACUCAGUGGUACAAUUAAUUGAACACAGCCAAUUACAGAUUUCUGUGUUCUUUCUCCACUUCCACUGCUUCACUUGACUAGCCUUAA
rnacentral:Y_RNA from 3 species